rnacentral:rRNA from 1 species
UACGAAGGGGGGCUAGCGUUGCUCGGAAUCACUGGGCGUAAAGCGCACGUAGGCGGCUUUUUAAGUCAGGGGUGAAAUCCUGGAGCUCAACUCCAGAACUGCCUUUGAUACUGAGAAGCUCGAGUCCGGGAGAGGUGAGUGGAACUGCGAGUGUAGAGGUGAAAUUCGUAGAUAUUCGCAAGAACACCAGUGGCGAAGGCGGCUCACUGGCCCGGUACUGACGCUGAGGUGCGAAAGCGUGGGGAGCAAACAGG